UACGUAGGGGGCAAGCGUUGUCCGGAUUCAUUGGGCGUAAAGAGCGUGUAGGCGGCCAGGUAGGUCGGUUGUGAAAACUGGAGGCUCAACCUUCAGAGGUCGACCGAAACCAUCUGGCUAGAGUCCGGGAGAGGAGAGUGGAAUUCCUGGUGUAGCGGUGAAAUGCGCAGAUAUCAGGAAGAACACCCGUGGCGAAAGCGGCUCUCUGGAACGGUACUGGCGCUGAGACGCGAAAGCGUGGGGAGCGAACAGG
rnacentral:rRNA from 1 species